CAAAAUGGUGCUGUAACUUCGGGAGAAGGCACGCUGAUACGUAGGUGAAGUCCCUCGCGGAUGGAGCUGAAAUCAGUCGAAGAUACCAGCUGGCUGCAACUGUUUAUUAAAAACACAGCACUGUGCAAACACGAAAGUGGACGUAUACGGUGUGACGCCUGCCCGGUGCCGGAAGGUUAAUUGAUGGGGUCAGCGCAAGCGAAGCUCUUGAUCGAAGCCCCGGUAAACGGCGGCCGUAACUAUAACGGUCCUAAGGUAGCGAAAUUCCUUGUCGGGUAAGUUCCGACCUGCACGAAUGGCGUAAUGAUGGCCAGGCUGUCUCCACCCGAGACUCAGUGAAAUUGAACUCGCUGUGAAGAUGCAGUGUACCCGCGGCAAGACGGAAAGACCCCGUGAACCUUUACUAUAGCUUGACACUGAACAUUGAGCCUUGAUGUGUAGGAUAGGUGGGAGGCUUUGAAGUGUGGACGCCAGUCUGCAUGGAGCCGACCUUGAAAUACCACCCUUUAAUGUUUGAUGUUCUAACGUUGACCCGUAAUCCGGGUUGCGGACAGUGUCUGGUGGGUAGUUUGACUGGGGCGGUCUCCUCCUAAAGAGUAACGGAGGAGCACGAAGGUUGGCUAAUCCUGGUCGGACAUCAGGAGGUUAGUGCAAUGGCAUAAGCCAGCUUGACUGCGAGCGUGACGGCGCGAGCAGGUGCGAAAGCAGGUCAUAGUGAUCCGGUGGUUCUGAAUGGAAGGGCCAUCGCUCAACGGAUAAAAGGUACUCCGGGGAUAACAGGCUGAUACCGCCCAAGAGUUCAUAUCGACGGCGGUGUUUGGCACCUCGAUGUCGGCUCAUCACAUCCUGGGGCUGAAGUAGGUCCCAAGGGUAUGGCUGUUCGCCAUUUAAAGUGGUACGCGAGCUGGGUUUAGAACGUCGUGAGACAGUUCGGUCCCUAUCUGCCGUGGGCGCUGGAGAAUUGAGGGGGGCUGCUCCUAGUACGAGAGGACCGGAGUGGACGCAUCACUGGUGUUCGGGUUGUCAUGCCAAUGGCACUGCCCGGUAGCUAAAUGCGGAAGAGAUAAGUGCUGAAAGCAUCUAAGCACGAAACUUGCCCCGAGAUGAGUUCUCCCUGACUCCUUGAGAGUCCUGAAGGAACGUUGAAGACGACGACGUUGAUAGGCCGGGUGUGUAAGCGCAGCGAUGCGUUGAGCUAACCGGUACUAAUGAACCGUGAGGCUUAACCUU
rnacentral:rRNA from 1 species